GAGCGAAGAAGGCCUUCGGGUUGUAAAGUUUUUUUUCCUGGGAAGAAGGGCCCUUUCAGGAAAAGGGCGGGGUUUGACGGUAGCAGGCGAGGAAGCCCCGGCAAAAUACGUGCCCGCAGCCGCGGUAAUAUGUAGGGGGCGAGCGUUGUCCGGAAUUACUGGGGGUAAAGGGCGUGUAGGGGGCCUGUUAAGUCAGGGGUGAAAGACCGGGGCUCAACCCCGGGGGUGCCUUUGAAACUGGCGGGCUUGAGUGCUUUAGAGGGCAGUGGAAUUCCCGGUGUAGCAGUGAAAUGCGUAGAGAUCGGGAGGAACACCAGUGGGGAAGGGGGCUCCCUGGGGAGUCACUGACGCUGAGGCGCGAAAGCUAGGGGAGCAAACAGGAUUAGAUACCCUGGUAGUCCUCGCCGUAAACGAUGUGCGCUAUGUGUGAGGGGUAUCGACCCCCUCUCGUGCAGUAGCUAACGCAUUAAGCGCUCCGCC
rnacentral:rRNA from 1 species